AGUCAACAUGCCCAAAGGACGUGGAUAACCUCGGGGAACUGAGGAUAAACCGCGAUAGGCCAAGGUUUCUGGAAUGAGCCAUGGCCGAAAUCUACAUGGCCUUUGGAUUGGACUGCGGCCGAUCAGGCUGUUGGUGAGGUAAUGGCCCACCAAACCUGUAACCGGUACGGGCUUUGAGAGAAGGAGCCCGGAGAUGGGCACUGAGACAAGGGCCCAGGCCCUAUGGGGCGCAGCAGGCGCGAAACCUCUGCAAUAGGCGAAAGCUUGACAGGGUUACUCUGAGUGAUGCCCGCUAAGGGUAUCUUUUGGCACCUCUAAAAAUGGUGCAGAAUAAGGGGUGGGCAAGUCUGGUGUCAGCCGCCGCGGUAAUACCAGCACCCCGAGUUGUCGGGACGAUUAUUGGGCCUAAAGCAUCCGUAGCCUGUUCUGCAAGUCCUCCGUUAAAUCCACCUGCUCAACGGAUGGGCUGCGGAGGAGACCGCAGAGCUAGGAGGCGGGAGAGGCAAACGGUACUCAGUGGGUAGGGGUAAAAUCCAUUGAUCUACUGAAGACCACCAGUGGCGAAGGCGGUUUGCCAGAACGCGCUCGACGGUGAGGGAUGAAAGCUGGGGGAGCAAACCGGAUUAGAUACCCGGGUAGUCCCAGCUGUAAACGAUGCAGACUCGGUGAUGGGUUGGCCUCGAGCCAACCCAGUGCCGCAGGGAAGCCGUUAAGUCUGCCGCCUGGGGAGUACGGUCGCAAGACUGAAACUUAA
rnacentral:rRNA from 1 species